rnacentral:rRNA from 1 species
UACGGAGGGUGCAAGCGUUGUCCGGAUUUAUUGGGUUUAAAGGGUGCGUAGGCGGUUUGAUAAGUCAGUGGUUAAAUGUUACAGCUCAACUGUGAAAGUGCCAUUGAUACUGUUAGACUAGAGUAUUGUAGAGGUUGGCGGAAUUGGUAGUGUAGCGGUGAAAUGCAUAGAUACUACCAGGAACAUCGAUUGCGAAGGCAGCUAACUGGACAAUAACUGACGCUGAGGCACGAAAGCAUGGGUAGCAAACAGG